GAGGAAUAUUGGUCAAUGGGCGAGAGCCUGAACCAGCCAAGUCGCGUGAAGGAAGACUGCCUUAUGGGUUGUAAACUUCUUUUAUACAGGAAUAAAAAGGCUUACGUGUAGGCCAUUGCAAGUACUGUAUGAAUAAGCACCGGCUAACUCCGUGCCAGCAGCCGCGGUAAUACGGAGGGUGCGAGCGUUAUCCGGAUUCACUGGGUUUAAAGGGUGUGUAGGCGGGCAGGUAAGUCAGCGGUGAAAGCCCCGAGCUUAACUUGGGAAUUGCCGUUGAUACUAUCUGUCUUGAAUGUUGUGGAGGCGAGCGGAAUAUGGCAUGUAGCGGUGAAAUGCUUAGAUAUGCCAUAGAACACCGAUUGCGAAGGCAGCUCGCUACGCAACCAUUGACGCUGAGGCACGAAAGCGUGGGGAGCAAACA
rnacentral:rRNA from 1 species